AACGAACGCUGGCGGCAGGCUUAACACAUGCAAGUCGAACGCCCCGCAAGGGGAGUGGCAGACGGGUGAGUAACGCGUGGGAAUCUACCUAGUCCUACGGAACAACUCAGGGAAACUUGUGCUAAUACCGUAUACGCCCUACGGGGGAAAGAUUUAUCGGAAUUAGAUGAGCCCGCGUUGGAUUAGCUAGUUGGUGGGGUAAUGGCCUACCAAGGCGACGAGCCAUAGCUGGUCUGAGAGGAUGAUCAGCCACACUGGGACUGAGACACGGCCCAGACUCCUACGGGAGGCAGCAGUGGGGAAUAUUGGACAAUGGGCGAAAGCCUGAUCCAGCCAUGCCGCGUGAGUGAUGAAGGCCUUAGGGUUGUAAAGCUCUUUCAGUAGGGAAGAUAAUGACGGUACCUACAGAAGAAGCCCCGGCUAACUUCGUGCCAGCCGCCGCCGUAA
rnacentral:rRNA from 1 species